CAACUAAAAUUACUAGCAAGACUUAGUUUGAGUACCAAAGUCCCUUGGUAUCCUUGGUAUGUCAAGAAACAGGUCGGAGGGUGGACGGAAGUGUACGAGGGACUAACGUUUGUGACGGUGAGAGGAGCAGGUCACGAGGUGCCAUUGUUCAAGCCUCGUGCUGCUUUUGAGCUGUUCAAGUAUUUCUUGACAGGCAAGCCACCUCCUAAGGCUUGAUAAAAAAAAUCCAAGUCAAGAUCAGAGAUUGUAAUAUUCGAAAUUAUGGUGAGAAAAACAAACUAAAUGUAAAGUUUGGGUUACGAUUUAUGAGUUAUGAGAUUGAAUUAAAAUCAAAUUUUAGAGUUAA